AUAGCCAUCUUGAUAAAGCCUAACCAGCAGUCAAGCACCGAGUCUUGCGUGGUGCGUGGUAACAUUCAUCGCGAAGCGUAGACAGGAAGAUAGUAGGCCGGAAUAAAGUGAAUGGGAUAAUUAGCCCCGAAAUUGAACGUGUUGUGAAGUAGCCGACCUUUUCUCUCUAUGGGGAAGGCAGAAAUUAGAUGUCCGUUAUUGGUGAGGAUAGACUAAUUACUUCCGGGGUUCGUACC
rfam:Desulfosporosinus sp. OL contig00049, whole genome shotgun sequence.